GGGUUGUGAGGUUAAGCGACUAAGCGUACACGGUGGAUGCCUUGGCAGUCAGAGGCGAUGAAGGACGUGCUAAUCUGCGAUAAGCGUCGGUAAGGUGAUAUGAACCGUUAUAACCGGCGAUUUCCGAAUGGGGAAACCCAGUGUGUUUCGACACACUAUCAUUAACUGA
rnacentral:rRNA from 1 species